GAUGAACGCUGGCGGCGUGCCUAAUACAUGCAAGUAGAACGCUGAAGCUUGGUGCUUGCACCGAGCGGAUGAGUUGCGAACGGGUGAGUAACGCGUAGGUAACCUGCCUCUUAGCGGGGGAUAACUAUUGGAAACGAUAGCUAAUACCGCAUAAAAGUCGAUAUCGCAUGAUAUUGAUUUGAAAGGUGCAAUUGCAUCACUAAGAGAUGGACCUGCGUUGUAUUAGCUAGUUGGUGAGGUAACGGCUCACCAAGGCGACGAUACAUAGCCGACCUGAGAGGGUGAUCGGCCACACUGGGACUGAGACACGGCCCAGACUCCUACGGGAGGCAGCAGUAGGGAAUCUUCGGCAAUGGGGGCAACCCUGACCGAGCAACGCCGCGUGAGUGAAGAAGGUUUUCGGAUCGUAAAGCUCUGUUGUAAGAGAAGAACGAGUGUGAGAGUGGAAAGUUCACACUGUGACGGUAACUUACCAGAAAGGGACGGCUAACUACGUGCCAGCAGCCGCGGUAAUACGUAGGUCCCGAGCGUUAUCCGGAUUUAUUGGGCGUAAAGCGAGCGCAGGCGGUUAGAUAAGUCUGAAGUUAAAGGCUGUGGCUUAACCAUAGUACGCUUUGGAAACUGUUUAACUUGAGUGCAGAAGGGGAGAGUGGAAUUCCAUGUGUAGCGGUGAAAUGCGUAGAUAUAUGGAGGAGCACCGGUGGCGAAAGCGGCUCUCUGGU
rnacentral:rRNA from 1 species